UGACGAAGCGACGCCGCGUGGGUGAAGAAGGCCUUCGGGUUGUAAAACCCUGUCAGGAGUUAUGAAAUGUAGGUGCGCUAAUAUCGUGCUUAUUUGACAAAGGCUCCAAAGGAAGCCACGGCUAACUCUGUGCCAGCAGCCGCGGUAAUACAGAGGUGGCGAGCGUUGUUCGGAAUUAUUGGGCGUAAAGAGCACGUAGGUGGGUUUGCAAGUCAGAUGUGAAAGCCUUCUGUUCAACGGGAGAAUUGCAUCUGAAACUGCUAAUCUUGAGUAUAGGAGGGGAGAAUGGAACUUCUGGUGGAGCGGUGAAAUGCGUAGAUAUCAGAAGGAACGCCGGCGGCGAAAGCGAUUCUCUGGCCUAUUACUGACACUCAGUGUGCGAAAGCUAGGGGAGCAAACGGGAUUAGAUACCCCGGUAGUCCUAGCCGUAAACGAUGGGCACUAAGUAGAGG
rnacentral:rRNA from 1 species